ensembl:snRNA U6 U6 spliceosomal RNA
GUGCUUGCUUUGGCAGCGUAUAUGCUAAAAAAAAUUGGAACGAUACAGAGAAGAUUAGCAUGGCCACUGCACACGGAUGAAGCGCAAAUUCAUGAAGUGUUCUGUAUAACA